AGCCAGGGAGGCUGUGAGGCAGCAGGAAGCCUCCUCAUGUGCUGGUGGAAAUAUGAAAUGGUGUGGCUGCUUUGAAAGACGGCGUGCACACAAACACCGCACAGUCCAGCAAGUGUACUGCUGGCUACUUUCAGGUAAACAGAAAAACUAUGCUACAGACAAUGGAAUAUUACUCAGUGCCAAAAAUGAACAAUCGAGCCAUGGACAGACAUGGAGGAAACCAAAUGCCUAUUACUAAGGAAAAGAAGCUGGUCUGAAAAAGGCUAUAACCUGUCACUCACUGGACAUUUGGGCAAAGAUAACCUCUGGGGACUGAGCUGCUGUGACCCAAUGGGCCUCCCACUCUGGGCCACAUAACUUUGGACACCACUGUCCUUAUCAAGCACACAUUGUUUGCACGGCUUGUCUGCUGUUUUGGAAAUCAACUGAAGGGAGACAACUUUGAGGCUCCCUCUGCGGAAACCUUCCUUGUCUCCUUUGCUCCUGUUACCUGUACUGUGAGGAUCAGGCUUACUUUUGUCCACUUCAAGGCCAAGAAACUUCCUCUGCUGUCUUUCAAUGACUAAAACCCCAUUGUAUACAUGUGCCACGUUUUCAUUGUCUUUUCUUCAGUUGACGGAUGUGUAGGCUGACUUCAUUUCUUGCCACUGUGAAAAGACCGAUCACAGGAUGUGGCAUUCUUCAGGUACAUGCCCGAGAGCGUCAGCAGCUUUUCUUAGAGACUCUCCCCACGGCAUGCUCUGGCACCUUUACCACACAGGUAUCAACAGAAGAUGCCACAUCAAACCCAAAGGUUUUAGUGCCCUUGGACUCACAGAAAGAAGAGGCCACAGCAUCAAGCUUUGGAAAACUGUCCCACAACAAGAAAAAGAUCGCGCACUGAAUGUCGCCUCACUGACCAGCACGGGCAACAGCGCUAGACUUGAGUGCUAGAUUUACAAAGCUCCCGAAAUCUGAAUUCAGCUCCUGCCAUUCACUCCCUAGGGACCUGGAGAGUAACCAGGACCCAAGUCACACCUAUGUGACGAUGCUAACACAAACACUGAUUAUUCUUCAGAUCGGAAGGUGCCUGUUUUGAUGGCAUGCUCCUUAAAAUUUUCCUGAUAAAAAUAAAGCCUCAAGAUAUGUGGUCUCAGGGCACCAGAGCGGGAAAGCUCUGACAUCACAAUGCCACCCCCCCACCCCACCCCCCCGUAAGCACUGUUUUAUCUGAUCUGCUUAUACACUCACAGCAAGCUGGGUGAGAGAGAUAUAAAAUAUUAACCAGCCGUGAAGAAAACUGUAUUUGCACGUCCGUGCGCGAGAAGAUGGAAAAGGGGAAUGGAAACUGAGGGCGGAGCUUUUCAUUCCCACAGUGACACACUCAGCUUUAGACGCUUUGUUCUAAAUUUCGCAGCUCUGUCCUCGGCAUGACCACCAGGAAGAGCGUGUACCCCAAGACAGCCUGGGAGCUGGAGCCCAGGCACGCGCACGCACUCACGUU